rnacentral:rRNA from 1 species
GACGAACGCUGGCGGCGUGCCUAAUACAUGCAAGUCGAGCGAAGUUUUUCCGGUGCUUGCACUAGAAAAACUUAGCGGCGAACGGGUGAGUAACACGUAAAGAACCUGCCUCAUAGACUGGGACAACUAUUGGAAACGAUAGCUAAUACCGGAUAACAGCAUUAACUGCAUGGUUGAUGUUUAAAAGUUGGUUUUGCUAACACUAUGAGAUGGCUUUGCGGUGCAUUAGCUAGUUGGUGGGGUAAAGGCCUACCAAGGCGACGAUGCAUAGCCGACCUGAGAGGGUGAUCGGCCACACUGGGACUGAGACACGGCCCAGACUCCUACGGGAGGCAGCAGUAGGGAAUCUUCCGCAAAGGGCGAAAGCCUGACGGAGCAACGCCGCGUGAGUGAAGAAGGAUUUCGGUUCGUAAAGCUCUGUUGUUAGGGAAGAAUGAUUGUGUAGUAACGAUACACAGUAGAGACGGUACCUAACCAGAAAGCCACGGCUAACUACGUG